GAAAGCAAAAGUAUUUCCAGUCUCCUCCUGACGCACUGUCACAGAAGAUCUCUGUCCUUGUAUUUAGGGAUACACAUCCAUAUACUUGCCUGAACGUGUGAGUCCUUGGAAUUACGGAUUCAUUGCCGGUAGCUGGUGAUCUCCUACGCAGAAGGUCGCUAACUACAAGAAAUGUUACGUGCGGUUCCAGUGCCUCUCUCAGAAGAUCCCUGAGGCCCGCUUCUCUGCCCUGGACCGCGUCUCUGCCCGUGUUCCUCUCUUUUCCUCAUCCAUUCAUCUGCUGACACCUGUGCAUUCUUAGGAGUCGUCUCAGGUGCUGGUCUUCUGAACAAAUGCCCCCUGAGGAAUUCUGUGCCUGGAGAAUAUCUGUCUACAGAUUUCUUUUGACGCCCUAUGUAAGUAGAGGCUUGUGCUUAAAACUCAGUCUCACGGGAGCUUUGUUUUAUUUUGUUCCUGGAGGAUCCCCCGGUAAGUUUUUUUUAGGUGGUCAUCAGUGUUUGAUCUCGGUUUUUUUUCUCUAAAACACUCAACUUCCAAUUUACUAUCAGAAAAAGUCUGUAACACGAACUUCUGCUCAAAAUCAAGGGUAUGGAUCCCAUGUUCAGGUCUCAGAAUGGGAAGAGGAGAAAGCAGAAAAUAUGAAAACCACUCACUUGGGUCAAUUCAGUUGGAGAUGCCAUUUGUAGAUCCGAGGGCAUCUUUUCAGGGUUUAGUAUUCAUCAGACUCCUCUGUGGUUAGCGACUGUGGAAUGUGCCCCGUACAGCUCAGGGUGUGGGCACGGGAUCCGGGAGCCCUUCCGUUUGGGAGCCGUGACAGAUCUCUUAGCCACAUCUCUGCUUAUAACAGGCUGAAGGAAAACUGAUAUCUUAUUUUUAUCGUUGUAACCGUCAUUUAUUGAAUGUGUACAUGUGCUAUUUCCAGUUCCACUCGCUUCUCCUUCUCUGUCUUAAUUCUCACAACAACCUUACGUGGUAGGUCUUGUUAUUACCCUGAUUUCACAGAUGAGGAGACCGAGGCACAGAGAGUCAAGUAACUUCCCCCAGUUUGUGCGGGGAGCGAAUUCCAGAACUUGACGUUCCAGCCCCAGAAGUCUGCGUUGGACCAUCCCACCAAACUGCCCCAUAGAAACGAGCAGCUUUGGAGGACGAGCUGGUGGGCUGUAUUUGGAGACGGUGUUUUAGCACUGCCACGAUCCCAUGCGGGAGGGGGCUGCUGGACUUACAAAGGCUUGAGCUUGCUUAAGACUAGUAGGAGAACCAGGCUUUAGAGACGAUGUGACUUGCUUAUGGUCACGCCGCAAGUCAGAAUGUGGCGGAGGGUCUGGGGCCAAAUCCUACCGGUUUCCAAGUUUUCUCCUUCCUCUUGGUUGUUAGGUGCCGCUUCUGCUGUUCGAGACCAAAGCUGGUUUCAGUGGUUUGCUCACGUGCUUAUGGACGAAACCCUGCACCUCAGAGCCCGUUUAUGUUCAGAGGUCCACAUGGCCAUGUGAAGAUUGGCCGUUACAGUAUCUAUAAAGCACCAAGCAGCAAAGAAUGGUGAGUAAGAGCCUGGGCCUGGAAUCAAGCGGAAUGGAGUCUGAAUCCUGGUCUUGCCAUUCCUAAACUUUGUGACCAAGAGCAAGUGCUGUACCCUCGCUAUGUCUCUGUUCCUUCACCUGAAAAAUGGAAGUAACGCCACUAGCCUUGUAGGUGGUUGUGAGUGAUGAGAAAAUGCAUAGAAGGCACGUAGCACAGUGUCUGGCACAGAGUAAGUCUUCCAAAAAUGGAAGCUGUUAUUAUUUAUCAGAGUACCUUCCCAUCCGCUCCGCAGUUCAUGUCGGCCUUCACUCUGAAACGGCACUGCAGCGCCCUGAUCCAUCUAAUAAAACAAUGUUUGUGUGUAGUGCUUUUUUAAAAAUUACAGUUGUUCCCGUACACGGAAUUCCAUAUGCCUCUAAGAACCAGUGCAGGAUAGGAAUUUGUAUCUCCGUUCUCUAGAUCGGCGUGCUGAGGCUCGGCAAAAUUAAAUGAUUGCCCAAGAUCCCACAGCUAGUCAACAGCACAGCCAGAACUUCAGCUUGGAGCCAGAACUCCAGAUCCUGCGCUACUUAUUUAUCUGCUUCCUGUAAGAAAGUAUUCAUUAAAGGCACGUAAGUCAACAGAGAGCUAACUCCCCACCGUACGAUCCAGCACCUUCCAACCGAUAACAGUUGCAUCUUUAGUCUGGCCUGGAUAUUUGGGUUAGGACUCUUGUAUCCUGAAGUCUGUAACGUUCUGAAGCUACCUUCUUUAAAGACGCGUCAUAGUCAGAUACUGUCUCCUUGUGAAAUAUCCUCACGCCCCGGGGGACGUUAUCUUAAUCCAGUUUGCUCGUGCAAGAAGAGACUGGCAUUUCACUUCAAGGAAAGACAACGUGUUUCCACUGUUCCGCUUUUGCCACACAGGAGUUACCGGUGUGGCUUAUUGAUUGACAUUUCAGGCUCUAACUUUCCUAUCAGAUCUGGAAGAAAAAAAAAAAACAAAGAAUGGCAGCUUGCUCCAGAACAGCAUGAAGUAAGGAAUCGCAGGUGGGAUUUUGAAAUAGAAACACAUUCUUGUAGCCCCUAUGCUGAGAGACACCAAGGAGGGAUUUUGUUCUUGAAAGGUGAGCACUUUAAUGUGGAGGUGGAGAGUUUAACAAUGUUAAGUGUGUGUUCUGUGUGUAAGAAAGAGUUGUUAAAAAAUAACAUUCCUUUCAAACGAUGCAGUACCUUAAAACUGUCAAUGGUUAAAGUAGAGACACCCUGAGUUACAGGAGUUCGGCCCUGCCGUCUCCUGCCCUGAAAAUACAGAACAAUCAGGUUGAUUGUUGGAGGUUGGAGGAUGGGGAGGAGUGGAAACAUGCUGAUGUUUACUGAGUAAGAUCUUUCCUUGCAGUUGACUGUCACUGAAAGACUCAACAAAGUAAGCAGAGGGCUUCCCUGGUGGCGCAGUGGUUGAGAGUACGCCUGCCGAUGCGGGGGACGCGGGUUCGUGCCCCCGUCUGGGAAGAUCCCACGUGCCGCGGAGCGGCUGGGCCCGUGAGCCGUGGCCGCUGAGCCUGCGCAUCCGGAGCCUGUGCUCCGCAACGGGAGAGGCCACAACAGUGAGAGGCCCGCGUACCGC
ensembl:lncRNA